rnacentral:antisense_RNA from 1 species
AUUGCCUCCGUGUUUUAGCAGCAGAGCUAUGAUAUCUUUUCGGCCUUGCUUGGCUGCUUCAUGCAUUGCUGACCAUCGCUUGACACAGGGCUGGUCUAGGCUAGUGUUGUGUUUGAUCAGAGUCGAUAUCAUGUCAUAGGAGCCAUUUUUUACAGCUUGAAAAUGAUUGUUAAAAACAACAGAAGAAGAGAUAGAUGUGGAUCUCACUCAUAGAGUUUACGGCCUAGAGAAGAAGCCUAUGCUGCCUUCUAUUUAAAGAGAGACUCAAAGUCUGGGCCUAUACUGGGAAACGUAGAAGAUGUGAGGCCACAUGUAACAUUCUGGGGUAACCAGGAGGCAGAACCCAGAAAGGAUCUAAAGCCAAGUUAAGGGAUUCCUCUUAUCUCUCCUCUACAAAUCUCAAAGACCAUAGAUUCAAGAACAAACUGAGGAAGUGCUGUGAAUAAUCCAUUUUCCUAUAAAGCCUAAGAAGACUUGGCAUGGGUUCCACAACAAAGGCGGUGAUUAAGCAGAAACAUCUGCUAGCAUACCAGGGUUGUGAAUGCCUUCCAGGGAGCUCUGAAGUUCUAACGCUUGUUGGAG